rnacentral:rRNA from 1 species
CCUACGGGAGGCAGCAGUGAGGAAUAUUGGUCAAUGGCCGGAAGGCUGAACCAGCCAUGCCGCGUGAAGGUCAGUGCCCUAUGGGCGUUAAACUUCUUUUGUGCGGGAGCAAUAAUGGUCACGUGUGGCCAGACGAGAGUACCGUACGAAUAAGCAUCGGCUAACUCCGUGCCAGACGCCGCGGGAAUACGGGGGAUGCAAGCGUUAUCCGGAUGUAUUGGGUUUAAAGGGUGCGUAGGCUGUGAGGUAAGUCAGCGGUGAAAAGCCCCCGCUCAACGGGGUGAAGUGGCAUUGAUACUGCCUUGCGGGAAUGCGGAUGCCGUGGGAGGAAUGUGUGGUGUAGCGGUGAAAUGCAUAGAUAUCACACAGAACACCGAUUGCGAAGGCAUCUCACGAAUCCGCGAUUGACGCUGAUGCACGAAAGCGUGGGUAUCAAACAGGAUUAGAUACCCUAGUAGUC